AGAAGGAGCGAAUAAAGCAGACUGCACAGAUGGAACAUGGAAAGGCUUUUAACAGAAAUGAAUACUUUCAGACCAGUUUUGAAGGACUGAGUAGGAGUAAACUAAAAGAGAAAAAGCAGGACAAAAGAAGCACCACUUUGGAAGCUCAAAGCCGCACUGGAAACACAGUCUUUCAGGAUGUCUGAAAGGGGCAAGUCUGUUUGUGUGGGGUAAGAAAUGCGGGGAGACAAACGGACAGUGGACAGAUUGCAGAGAGCUCUGUGUGCUGAGAGGAGGGUGCAGACCAGAUUUUUAAAUUGAGAAUGCAACAGUGAAGGAUUUCAAGCUUGGAGUGAGAGGGGAGACUACGAGCCUGCAGUGAUAAGGCAAAGCUGAAGAUUUCAGAGCCAAGGCCACACCCUACAGUUGCCAUGGAAUGGGGUGGCACAGUGGGCUUUGGAGGCUGGGGAGCUGUGCUUUGGAAAAGCAAUGAGGAGGUAACAGGAAGUCUCUUCUUCUAAAUCCUGUGUUCAUGGAGGAGGGUGGGUUUUCUCCUCUUGAGAGGGAGUUACAUACAAGUUUAAGGGAAAAGAGUCUGAAGUUUCCACCUAAAUGAUUCUGAAAGAAUCAGAUAUACAGGGAGUCCACGGAGCCUCCCCUGCAAGCAUCAGUACAGAAGUCGAUGAUAAUCUGGAUGCAAGCCCAGGAGUGUGGAGUCCACUGACUCAGAAGACCUGCAUCUAAGGAAUUGGCUGUUCUUAUCCUUAAGAAUGAUGACUGUGUUUCCAAUUCCAGUAGACCCUUUGAUGCGUUCUGAAUAAAUAUUCCUUUUGGAAUUGAACUUCUAGAGCCCUUAACUUUGGCCCACUCUAGUUUUCUGUCUGUUUUUUUUUUAAAUAUUUUUUUUGUAAAGAUAAGGUCUUGCUUUGUUGCCCAGGCUGGUCUUGAAUUCCUGGACUCAAGCAAUCCACCUGCCUUGGCCUCCCAAAGUGCUGGGAUUAUAGGUGUGAACCAUUGUGUCCGAUCGCUCUCUGGUUUUUCUAAUAUCAUGAUCCCAACUCUGUUCUUUAUGUAAAUUUCCCUGAUCACAUGGUUGCAUCUUGGCAUUUCAAAAUCCUUAACAGACUUUGUUUUGUUUGAAUUUUACAAUGAACUUACAUGACUAGGCAUGGUCCCCAGUUCAGUUUUAUAGACAAGGAUUCUGUAGGUCAAGAAGUGAAACACAACCAAUAACAGCAGGUGACAGGAUUUAAACCUGGGUCACUUUACUUAUUUUUUUCUACUCUAUCAUUAUGUGAAUCUAUCCUACCUCUGCAAUGACAGAUGGCCCUAGAGCAAGAACACUUCCUUACAUCUGGUAUACAGUCAAAAAGUAAAAAUUCCACACAAAUAAAUAUGGAAAGAAUUUUUACCUGCUCCUAUAGCUUCCUUUCAGGGACCUGGAACCCACAAAUGUUGGGUAACAGAAAGAGGACUUAUGUAACUUAACUCAAAGCAGAAAAGUUACAGAGACUGUCUUAGCAUAAUAGAACAUGGAGUGGUCAUGCUUGGAUGUGCAAACUGUCUGAUAGCCUUGCACAUGGCUUGACCCCGAAUUACACUAGUGGGGCAAGUUGCCUGGGGCAAAGCAAACUUAUUGGACCCAAAGCUCUCAUUUGAGAAUUUUGUUGCCUAAAAGUUAUAAAAUAUCAGCAAUUUCAUAUGGUUCAGCCUAAUAUUUUAUCACUCUUCCUUUUUCUAUUCUAAAACAAUAAUUUUUAAUAAUGUAAGCUAUACACAUACAUGCUUUAAACAUACAACACCCUGACUAUCAUACAGUGGAUAUUUCAAGAAGUAAAUGUUCAGCAUGUCUUCACCCCCACUUGAAGACAUAAUGUAUGUAUUAGGCUGUUCUGGCAUUGCUAUAAAGAAAUACCUGAGACUGUGUAAUUUAUAAGAAAAGAGCUUUAAUUGGCUCACGGUUCUGCAGGCUGUACAGGAAACAUAUUGGGUCUACUUCUGUGGAGGCUUCAGGGAACUUUGACUCAUGGUGGAAGGUGAAAUGGGAGCAGGCACCUCAUGUGACUGAAGCAGGAGCAAGAAAGAGAGAGCGAGCGAGGUGCCACACACUCUUAAACAACCAGAACUCUCUCUUGAGAAUUCACUCACUGUCUUGCCGUCAGCACCAAAGGGAUGGUCCUAAACCAUUCAUGAGAAAUCCUCCUCCAUGAUCCAAUCACCUCUCACCAGGCCCUACCCCCAACACUGGGAUUACAAUUCAACCUGAGAUUUGGGCCUGGACACAGAUCCAAACCCUAUCAAUAUAUUAGCCAGACACUUGCAGCUGUAUGAAGAAUACCCUGGUUACCCAGCUACAAAUGCAGAAGUUAUUGAUAAGGAAGGGGGGCAGGGAAGUGCUGGGAGGAGAAAGGCAGGUCUCUGGCAAGGGCUUCACCCCGGUGCCUGUGCCCACAGACCUAGGUAAGGGCAGGCACUCCUGCCUUUGCGCCCAAAUGUUGCAUUUCCCAAGACCACCCUGGCCCACCACGCCCCCAUCCUGUGCCUAUAAAAACCCCGAAACACUAGUGGGCACUCACACAAGCGGCUGGACGUCCAGAGGACGUCAACAAGAGCACGCCGACAGGCAGACCCUGGCAGGCCAUCGACUGGCGGAAGGACAUGGAGUUUGGCUGCGUGGUUGGAGAAGAGCCAGGCCGCUAGGUGGCCUGACUCCAGGAAAAUACACCUUCCCACUCCAUCUCUCUUCUGUCUCCCCUGUCUGCUCACAGCUACUUCCUCUCAAUAAAACCUUGAACUCAUUCUCCAAGCCCACGUGUGAUCUGAUUCUUCCGGUACACCAAGGCAAGGACCCUGGGAUACAGAAAGUCCUCUGUCCUUGAGAUAAGCCAGGGGGUCUAAUUGAGCUGACUAACACAAGUCGCCUACAGAUGGCAAAACUAAAAGAGCACCCUGUAACACACGUGUGCCCACUGGGGCUUCAGCUGUAAACAUUCACCCCUAGACACUGCUCUUGGGUUGGAGCCCCACAACCCAGCCGUCCGCAUGCUCCCCUAGAGGUUUGAGCAGUGGGGCACGGAAGAAGCGAGCCACUCCUCCUGUUGCACACCCUGCGGGUGGCGCAAGGGAACGUUUCCUGUUUCAUCAUCAGGGAUAUUGUAUCGGUGUCUUAAAUAACACUAGCAUUUUGACAUAUUUGGAGCUGUUACUGGGCCAGCUCUGUUUCCAGGCCUGCCUUUCAAUCUUUUCCUUGCUUCUGGCAUGAGUUACCAUCUCUUUUAAGAAAUUGGUUAUGCAUUUGAAAAUACACGUAGCUAUACAUACUUUAAACAUAUCAUUUAGCAAGGAUGCUCCUUAUCGGACCGUCUUUCACGUUGCUGGGAACAGAGAACACGACAGUUCCAGCCAUGAUAAAAUCCAGUGGCUUAAGACUAGAAAACCCAGAAACAAAUCCAUACAUCUGUAGUGAACUCAUUUUUGACAAAUGUGGCAAGAACACACAUUGGGGAAAGGACUUGUUUCUUCAAUAAGUGGUGCUGGGAAAAUUGGGUAUCUGUAUGCUGAAAAACAAAACUAGACCCGUAUGUCUCGCCAUAUACAAAAAUCAAAUCAAAAUGUAUUAAAGACUUAAAUCUAAGCCCUCAAAGUAUGAAACUACUAAAAUAAAACAUUGGGGAAACUCUUCAGGACAUUGGUCUGAGCAAAGAUUUCUUGAGUAAUACCCCACAAGCACAGGCAACCAAAGUGAAAAUGGACAAAUGAGGUCAUAUCAAGUUAAAAACCUUCUGCAAAGCAAAGGAAACAAACAACAAAGUUAAGAGACAACCCACAGAAUGGAAGAAAAUAAUUGCAAACUAUCCAUCUGACCAGGGAUUAAUAAUUAGAAUACCCAAGGAGCUCAAACAAUUUAAUAAGAAAAAAAAUCUAAUAAUCCAAUUAGAAAAUGGGCAAAAUAUUUGAAUAGACAUUUCCCAAAGAAGACAUACAAAUGGCAAACGGGCAUAUGAAAACCUGCUCAAUAUUAUUGAUCAUCAGAGAAAUGCAAAUCAAAAGUACUAUGAGAUAUCACAACAGUUAAAAUGGCUUGUAUUCAAAAGACAGGCAAUAAUGAAUGUUGGUAAGGAUGUGGAGAAAAGGGAACCCUUGUACACUGUUGGUGGGAAUGUAAAUCAGUAACCACUAUGGAGAACAGUUUGGAGGUUUCUCAAAAAACUAAAAACAGAACUACCAUAUGAUCCAGCAAUACCACUGCUAGAUAUAUACCCAAAAGAAAGGAAAUCAGUAUAUUAGAGAGAGAUCUACAGUCCCAUGUUCAUUGAGGCACAAUAGCAAAGAUUUGAAAGCAAUAGCAAAGAUUUGAAAGCAGCCUAAGUGUUCAUCAACAGAAGAAUGGAUAAGGAAAGCUGGUAAUAUACACAACGAAGUGCUAUUCAGCCAUAAAAAAGAAAGAGAUCCUGUCAUUUGCAAGGACAUGGAUGGAACCGGAGGUUAUUAUGUUAACUGAAAUAAUCCGGAUACUCAAACUUUGCACGUUCUCACUCAUUUGUGGGAGCUAAAACUUGAAACAAUUGAACUUGUGGAGAUAGAGAAUAGAAGUAUGUUACCAGAGGC